GCAGGCAUAGUUUAACCAGAACGCUGGAUUGUGAUUCCAGAAGCGGGGGUUAAAGUCCCCUUGCCCGCC
rnacentral:tRNA from 1 species